CAAGUACUCCCUCCGUCCGGAAUUACUUGUUAUCAAAAUGGAUGUGUCUAGAACUAAAAUACAUCCAGAUAUAUCCAUUUCAAUGACAAGUAUUUUUGGAUGGAGGGAGUACAAG
rnacentral:pre_miRNA from 1 species